rnacentral:rRNA from 1 species
GAUGAACGCUGGCGGCGUGCCUAAUACAUGCAAGUCGAGCGAGCGGACGAGAAGCUUGCUUCUCUGAUGUUAGCGGCGGACGGGUGAGUAACACGUGGAUAACCUACCUAUAAGACUGGGAUAACUUCGGGAAACCGGAGCUAAUACCGGAUAAUAUUUUGAACCGCAUGGUUCAAAAGUGAAAGACGGUCUUGCUGUCACUUAUAGAUGGAUCCGCGCUGCAUUAGCUAGUUGGUAAGGUAACGGCUUACCAAGGCAACGAUGCAUAGCCGACCUGAGAGGGUGAUCGGCCACACUGGAACUGAGACACGGUCCAGACUCCUACGGGAGGCAGCAGUAGGGAAUCUUCCGCAAUGGGCGAAAGCCUGACGGAGCAACGCCGCGUGAGUGAUGAAGGUCUUCGGAUCGUAAAACUCUGUUAUUAGGGAAGAACAUAUGUGUAAGUAACUGUGCACAUCUUGACGGUACCUAAUCAGAAAGCCUCGGCUAACUACGUG